rnacentral:rRNA from 1 species
AGUUUGAUCCUGGCUCAGGAUGAACGCUGGCGGCGUGCCUAAUACAUGCAAGUCGAACGAAUCUCUUCGGAGAUGAGUGGCGAACGGGUGAGUAAUACAUAGGUAACCUGCCCCUGUGCGGGGGAUAACAGGAGGAAACUCCUGCUAAUACCGCAUAGCCAUGAGCACCGCAUGGAGCUCAUGCCAAAUAUCCUUUCGGGGAUAGCGCAGGGAUGGACCUAUGGCGCAUUAGCUUGUUGGCGGGGCAACGGCCCACCAAGGCAACGAUGCGUAGCCGGCCUGAGAGGGCGGACGGCCACAUUGGGACUGAGACACGGCCCAGACUCCUACGGGAGGCAGCAGUAGGGAAUUUUCGGCAAUGGGGGAAACCCUGACCGAGCAACGCCGCGUGAGCGAAGAAGGCCUUCGGGUCGUAAAGCUCUGUUGUAAAGGAAGAACGGCGCAUACAGGAAAUGGUAUGCGAGUGACGGUACUUUACCAGAAAGCCACGGCUAACUACGUGCCAGCAGCCGCGGUAAUACGUAGGUGGCGAGCGUUAUCCGGAAUCAUUGGGCGUAAAGAGGGAGCAGGCGGCCGCAAGGGUCUGUGGUGAAAGACCGAAGCUAAACUUCGGUAAGCCAUGGAAACCGGGCGGCUAGAGUGCGGAAGAGGAUCGUGGAAUUCCAUGUGUAGCGGUGAAAUGCGUAGAUAUAUGGAGGAACACCAGUGGCGAAGGCGACGGUCUGGGCCGCAACUGACGCUCAUUCCCGAAAGCGUGGGGAGCAAAUAGGAUUAGAUACCCUAGUAGUCCACGCCGUAAACGAUGGUCACUAAGUGUCGGGGGUCAAACCCCGGUGCUGCAGUCAACGCAAUAAGUGACCCGCCUGAGUAGUACGUUCGCAAGAAUGAAACUCAAAGGAAUUGACGG